GACGAACGCUGGCGGCGUGCCUAACACAUGCAAGUUGAGCGACGAACCAGGGCUUGCCCUGGGGCAAAGCAGCGAACGGGUGAGUAACACGUGGGUAACCUACCCCGAUAACCGGGACAACCCGAGGAAACUCGGGCUAAUACCAGAUGUGCUCACUGGACUUCGGUUCAGUGCGUAAAGGAAGCUUCGGCCUCCGUAUCGGGAGGGGCCCGCGGCCCAUUAGUUUGUUGGUGAGGUAACGGCUCACCAAGACCGCGAUGGGUAGCUGGUCUGAGAGGACGAUCAGCCACACUGGGACUGAGACACGGCCCAGACUCCUACGGGAGGCAGCAGUGGGGAAUCUUGCGCAAUGCGCGAAAGCGUGACGCAGCAACGCCGCGUGGGGGAAGAAGGCCUUCGGGUUGUAAACCCCUUUCAGGAGGGACGAAGGUUCGGCGGUGAAUAGCCGUCCGGACUGACGGUACCUCCACAAGAAGCCCCGGCUAACUACGUG
rnacentral:rRNA from 1 species